rnacentral:rRNA from 1 species
CCUACGGGGGGCAGCAGUGAGGAAUAUUGGUCAAUGGGCGCAAGCCUGAACCAGCCAUGCCGCGUGCAGGAUGACGGUCCUAUGGAUUGUAAACUGCUUUUGUACAGGAAGAAACACUCGGACGUGUCCGAGCUUGACGGUACUGUAAGAAUAAGGAUCGGCUAACUCCGUGCCAGCAGCCGCGGUAAUACGGAGGAUCCAAGCGUUAUCCGGAAUCAUUGGGUUUAAAGGGUCCGUAGGCGGUCUUAUAAGUCAGUGGUGAAAGCCCAUCGCUCAACGAUGGAACGGCCAUUGAUACUGUAAGACUUGAAUUAUUAGGAAGUAACUAGAAUAUGUAGUGUAGCGGUGAAAUGCUUAGAGAUUACAUGGAAUACCAAUUGCGAAGGCAGGUUACUACUAAUGGAUUGACGCUGAUGGACGAAAGCGUGGGUAGCGAACAGGAUUAGAUACCCUAGUAGUC